UACGGAGGGUGCGAGCAUUGUUCGGAAUUACUGGGCGUAAAGCGCGCGUAGGCGGGUCUUUAAGUCGAUUGUGAAAGCCCAGGGCUUAACCCUGGAAUUGCAGUCGAUACUACUGAUCUUGAAUGCUUGAGAGGAUAUCGGAAUUCCCAGUGUAGGAGUGAAAUCCGUAGAUAUUGGGAGGAACAUCCGAGGCGAAGGCGGAUAUCUGGUGAUGCAUUGACGCUGAGGCGCGAAAGCGUGGGGAGCAAACAGG
rnacentral:rRNA from 1 species